rnacentral:rRNA from 1 species
GCACGCGCACGGGUGAGUAACACGUAUCCAACCUGCCCUUUACUCGGGGAUAGCCUUUCGAAAGAAAGAUUAAUACCCGAUAGCAUAAUGAUUCCGCAUGGUUUCAUUAUUAAAGGAUUCCGGUAAAGGAUGGGGAUGCGUUCCAUUAGGUUGUUGGUGAGGUAACGGCCCACCAAGCCUUCGAUGGAUAGGGGUUCUGAGAGGAAGGUCCCCCACAUUGGAACUGAGACACGGUCCAA